rnacentral:tRNA from 1 species
GAAACUGGAGGUAGGCAUGACCUCUUGCAUGGCAUGCAAGAGGUCAGCGGUUCGAUCCCGCUUAGCUCCACCA